UUUAAAAGUACAGAGACGGAGGCCUCCGUACUUAUAAGUUGUUUUUAAUGAUAGGGCAUCCGAUUUGACGAUCGGCUCUGUUAAGUAUAAUCUAUCAUAUUGGAACUAUUUAGAAAUCAAAUUUUAUAAUUUUUGACAUCAUUUACUAAUCAAUCAAAAGGUUUCAAAAUAUGACUAUUUUAACGACCGAUGUGACAUGUUUUUAAGUUUAAUGAUGUAGAAGUAUUCAAAUUACAUACAAAUUUAAUGAAAAAUUUUACUCAACAUCAAUAGCAAGAUCAAUAUUUUCGUUUUGAAAUUUGAGUCCUUUAUCACUGUUUUUUAUGAUAUUUUUAUUUUCAGCUGUUCAUUUUGAGGCUACUCGUUUAUUAGACAAAUGAAGUCAAAGAAUUAUGAAAUUUUGUUUCUAAAUAGUUCCACUAGCGUAGAUCAAGUUUAACAGAGCCGAUCGCCGAAUCGAAUAUGACUGUUGGAUAAAAAAAUAUGCGGUUAAAAUAAUAGUAAUUUUUUAGGGUUGAGUGAGCAAUAAGCUAAAUAGUAUAAUUUAACAGGUAAAAAUGAUCAAAGAACAAAUCUAAUAACAAAAAAUUCGAUAGUGUCAACAAAAAUAGCAUAGUAACCGUACAAUAUAUAAUUAUAUAUAUCCAACCACUCUCAAAAUCAUU
rnacentral:lncRNA from 1 species